rnacentral:rRNA from 1 species
UACGAAGGGGGCUAGCGUUGCUCGGAAUCACUGGGCGUAAAGGGUGCGUAGGCGGGUCUUUAAGUCAGAGGUGAAAUCCUGGAGCUCAACUCCAGAACUGCCUUUGAUACUGAGGAUCUUGAGUACGGGAGAGGUGAGUGGAACUGCGAGUGUAGAGGUGAAAUUCGUAGAUAUUCGCAAGAACACCAGUGGCGAAGGCGGACUCACUGGCCCGUUACUGACGCUGAGGCACGGAAAGCGUGGGGAGCAAACAGGG